GGCCCGUUGGCGCAACGGUAGCGCGUCUGACUCCAGAUCAGAAGGUUGGGUGUUCAAAU
rnacentral:tRNA from 1 species